rnacentral:rRNA from 1 species
CCCUUAGAUGUCCUGGGCCGCACGCGUGCUACACUGACGCAUACAGCGAGCACUUUCCAGUUCCGAGAGGCUACUGGUAAUCAUCAAUAUGCGUCGUGAUGGGGAUAGAUCUUUGGAAUUCUGGAUCUUGAACGAGGAAUGCCUAGUAAUCGCAGGUCAUUAGCCUGCGAUGAUUAAGUCCCUGCCCUUUGUACACACCGCCCGUCGCUACUACCGAUUUCGGGUGGUCAGGUGAAUCUUUCGGACUGUGGGCGCCCUUGAGGUGUUCGCGGAAAGUCAGGUAAAUCUUAUCACUUAGAGGAAGUAAAAGUCGUAACA